AGAGUUUGAUCAUGGCUCAGAUUGAACGCUGGCGGCAGGCCUAACACAUGCAAGUCGAACGGUAACAGGAAACAGCUUGCUGUUUCGCUGACGAGUGGCGGACGGGUGAGUAAUGUCUGGGAAACUGCCUGAUGGGGGGGGAUAACUACUGGAAACGGUAGCUAAUACCGCAUAACGUCGCAAGACCAAAGAGGGGGACCUUCGGGCCUCUUGCCAUCGGAUGUGCCCAGAUGGGAUUAGCUUGUUGGUGGGGUAACGGCUCACCAAGGCGACGAUCCCUAGCUGGUCUGAGAGGAUGACCAGCCACACUGGAACUGAGACACGGUCCAGACUCCUACGGGAGGCAGCAGUGGGGAAUAUUGCACAAUGGGCGCAAGCCUGAUGCAGCCAUGCCGCGUGUAUGAAGAAGGCCUUCGGGUUGUAAAGUACUUUCAGCGGGGAGGAAGGGAGUAAAGUUAAUACCUUUACUCAUUGACGUUACCCGCAGAAGAAGCACCGGCUAACUCCGUGCCAGCAGCCGCGGUAAUACGGAGGGUGCAAGCGUUAAUCGGAAUUACUGGGCGUAAAGCGCACGCAGGCGGUUUGUUAAGUCAGAUGUGAAAUCCCCGGGCUCAACCUGGGAACUGCAUCUGAUACUGGCAAGCUUGAGUCUCGUAGAGGGGGGUAGAAUUCCAGGUGUAGCGGUGAAAUGCGUAGAGAUCUGGAGGAAUACCGGUGGCGAAGGCGGCCCCCUGGACGAAGACUGACGCUCAGGUGCGAAAGCGUGGGGAGCAAACAGGAUUAGAUACCCUGGUAGUCCACGCCGUAAACGAUGUCGACUUGGAGGUUGUGCCCUUGAGGCGUGGCUUCCGGAGCUAACGCGUUAAGUCGACCGCCUGGGGAGUACGGCCGCAAGGUUAAAACUCAAAUGAAUUGACGGGGGCCCGCACAAGCGGUGGAGCAUGUGGUUUAAUUCGAUGCAACGCGAAGAACCUUACCUGGUCUUGACAUCCACGGAAGUUUUCAGAGAUGAGAAUGUGCCUUCGGGAACCGUGAGACAGGUGCUGCAUGGCUGUCGUCAGCUCGUGUUGUGAAAUGUUGGGUUAAGUCCCGCAACGAGCGCAACCCUUAUCCUUUGUUGCCAGCGGUCCGGCCGGGAACUCAAAGGAGACUGCCAGUGAUAAACUGGAGGAAGGUGGGGAUGACGUCAAGUCAUCAUGGCCCUUACGACCAGGGCUACACACGUGCUACAAUGGCGCAUACAAAGAGAAGCGACCUCGCGAGAGCAAGCGGACCUCAUAAAGUGCGUCGUAGUCCGGAUUGGAGUCUGCAACUCGACUCCAUGAAGUCGGAAUCGCUAGUAAUCGUGGAUCAGAAUGCCACGGUGAAUACGUUCCCGGGCCUUGUACACACCGCCCGUCACACCAUGGGAGUGGGUUGCAAAAGAAGUAGGUAGCUUAACCUUCGGGAGGGCGCUUACCACUUUGUGAUUCAUGACUGGGGUGAAGUCGUAACAAGGUAACCGUAGGGGAACCUGCGGUUG
rnacentral:rRNA from 1 species